rnacentral:rRNA from 1 species
CCGCAUGAAAGAGAUAUUAAAGAUGGCCUCUACUUGUAAGCUAUCGCUUUGCGAUGGGUCUGCGUCUGAUUAGCUUGUUGGCGGGGUAACGGCCCACCAAGGCGACGAUCAGUAGCCGGUCUGAGAGGAUGAACGGCCACAUUGGAACUGAGACACGGUCCAGACUCCUACGGGAGGCAGCAGUGGGGAAUCUUCCGCAAUGGGCGCAAGCCUGACGGAGCAACGCCGCGUGAGUGAAGAAGGGUUUCGGCUCGUAAAGCUCUGUUGAAGGGGACGAACAACAGGUGUAGGAAAUGAUAUCUGUUUGACGGUACCUUUCGAGGAAGCCACGGCUAACUACGUG